rnacentral:rRNA from 1 species
AGAGUUUGAUCCUGGCUCAGGAUGAACGCUAGCGGCAGGCUUAACACAUGCAAGUCGAGGGGCAGCACGGGUAGCAAUACUUGGUGGCGACCGGCGCACGGGCGUAACGCGUAUGUAAUCUACCAUUAACCGGGGAAUAGCCCAGAGAAAUCUGGAUUAAUGCCCCAUAGUAUUAUCGAAAGGCAUCUUUUGAUAAUUAAAGCUCAGGCGGUUUUUGAUGAACAUGCGUCUCAUUAGUUUGUUGGUGAGGUAACGGCUCACCAAGACUACGAUGGCUAGGGGGUCUAAAAGGAUGAUCCCCCACACUGGUACUGAGACACGGACCAGACUCCUACGGGAGGCAGCAGUGAGGAAUAUUGGUCAAUGGGCGGGAGCCUGAACCAGCCAUGCCGCGUGCAGGAAGACUGCCCUAUGGGUUGUAAACUGCUUUAUACACCAAGAAAAAUCCCCACGUGUGGGGACCCGACGGUAGUGUAUGAAUAAGCAUCGGCUAACUCCGUGCCAGCAGCCGCGGUAAUACGGAGGAUGCAAGCGUUAUCCGGAUUCAUUGGGUUUAAAGGGUGCGUAGGCGGCCUUUUAAGUCAGUGGUGAAAUCUUGCCGCUUAACGGUAAAAUUGCCAUUGAUACUGAAAGGCUUGAGUACAUUUGAGGUAAGCGGAAUGUGUAGUGUAGCGGUGAAAUGCUUAGAUAUUACACAGAACACCAAUUGCGAAGGCAGCUUACUAAACUGAUACUGACGCUGAUGCACGAAAGCGUGGGGAGCGAACAGGAUUAGAUACCCUGGUAGUCCACGCCGUAAACGAUGCUCACUCGCUGUUUGCGAUACACAGCAAGCGGCCAAGCGAAAGCAUUAAGUGAGCCACCUGGGGAGUACGAUCGCAAGGUUGAAACUCAAAGGAAUUGACGGGGGCCCGCACAAGCGGAGGAACAUGUGGUUUAAUUCGAUGAUACGCGAGGAACCUUACCUGGGCUUGAAUGCUGGACGACGUUCGCCGAAAGGUUGAUUCCCUUCGGGGCUGCUUACGAGGUGCUGCAUGGUUGUCGUCAGCUCGUGCCGCGAGGUGUCGGGGUAAGUCCCAUAACGAGCGCAACCCUUAUCGUUUAGUAGCCAGCACGUAACGGUGGAAUGUCUAAGGAGACUGCCACCGUAAGGUGAGAGGAAGGUGGGGAUGACGUCAAAUCAGCACGGCCCUUAUGUCCAGGGCUACACACGUGUUACAAUGGCCGAUACAAAGGCAGCUAUCCAGGUGACUGGAUGCAAAUCGCAAAAAACAGGUCCCAGUUCGGAUUGUAGGCUGCAACUCGCCUACAUGAAGUUGGAUUCGCUAGUAAUCGCGCAUCAGCCAUGGCGCGGUGAAUACGUUCCCGGGCCUUGUACACACCGCCCGUCAAACCAUGGGAGCUGGGGGUGCCUGAAGUCUGCCACCGCAAGGAGCGGCCUAGGGUAAAACCAGUGACUGGGGUUAAGUCGUAACAAGGUAACC